UGCAAGGAAUACAAGCUAGCAUCACCUGUUCUAACUCCUAAUGUUUUCAGUCAAAUGUCUAGUUAUCAAGUGCAGACGGCCCAGAUGUGUAUCCGGCCCCCUGCAUGAACCAGCGGCUGCUCUCUGAGGCUCACUUUCCUCCUCUGGAAAAUAAGUUGCAGCAUAUCAGAUUUUCAUGCUAACCACUACUAAAAAAAAAAUCAGUGCCUAUAAGGACAAUAUGAUAUAAAACCUGUCAACAGAGACCAGUUUUGCCCACAUUCCAGCAAGCACAAUGAAGAAGGAUGAUUAUAGGUGUAGACAAGUUUCACCAUUCAAACAAGGAACUUAAAUACAAAACAAAAAUUACAGGUUGAUCUUCAAGAUACAUCUUUUUUUUUUAAUCUACAAAGUUGGGUUUUUUUUUUAUAUGAAGAUUAUAAUUUUCCCCUUAAACAAGUAUUAUCAAAGCCGACAUUUCCCAAGACCGUAACAGUUGAAAGAGCAUGUUUGCCAAGCUUUGGGGUUUCAGUCCCCCAAAUUCAUCAUGUUCUCCUUUUCCCAUGCCAGCAAGGGCAGAUCUCUCUGCCAAUUUCACCCACUCUAGAAAAUUGGGAAAUAGGAAAUUCCUUUUACUUUUCUGUUAAAAUCCUUGUCAAUAUGUAUCAUUCCUCGCUGGAGAUUCAUGGUUAAAUAUAUUUGGCAAGUGCUACCCCUCUCCCCCUCAGCUCCCACCAGAGACGUUGAAAGGCUGUUCUAGAUGAAAGCAUGAGAGUGAAUUCUGAUGGCCCUGAAGUGUGUUGAGCAUCGAGGGCCUGUACGGUUUGUACACGUCUGUCAUCUCGUUUCUUUUCAUCUUCAUGCCAAACCUGUAAGGUCGGUAUUAUUAGCCGCUCAUUACAUAAAAGGAAACUGAGGAUCAUGGUUUUUCUGUUUAUUAGAGCUAAUUAACUGCAAAAUUUGGAUCUCUUCGUACCACAUGUCAUUUUAAGGCAGUCUCCCAGGCAAUGAAUAGGCUCUAAAUAGUUUUGUCACCAUAUUGUCCCUUAAGCAGCUUUAAAUUCGCAACCAACAUAUCUGGAUUUGAAUCCUGGCUCUAUGUCUUAUGAACUGUGUGAUCCUAGGCAAGGGUUUUAGCUGUUAGAAGCUUCAUUUUUAUCUGAAAAAUGGAUAUAAUGAUCCCUUCAUGGGAUAGCUGGGCACACUUUCUAAUAUUUAUAUGAGGUGGUAAAUAGUGGCCCUCUUCUGCUCUUUCCUUUCUGUUUCAGGUCCUUGGCAAACAUUCCAAACUCUCUUUUGUUCUUCCUGGAAAAACCUCUGUUGUCCAUGAAAUUGUUAAUGAUUUUCAGAUAUAUCCCAAGUAAAGCCCAAAUCCUUGACUCUUGUGUUAAGUGUCCAAAUACCUUGAGAUACGCCUCGCUAAUUUCCACCCAAAACACUUCAUGAUUUAAAUAAACAUAGUUCUACCUUGCUUUAGUUAAACAAGCUGCCAUCCAAUGUUUAGGAAGAAGUGAAAAAUGAUAUGGUGUUAGUUGGAGUGGGGAGUGGGUAAUUAAUAUUUUUAUUUUUAAUAUCAUAAAAAGUAGUCCCCACCUCACCCCCACCCCCACAGUGUUUAAAAUUUGUAUUCAAUUACAUCAUGCUUGUCAUUAAAUUAUUUCUGAAACCUCAGCACUGCUUUUCAGAACUGUUUGGGAAAUAACCAAGCAAUUUCAC